CACGCCAACAUAAUGUAACUGAGAAAACAAUUUAGUCGUAUAUAAAUGUAUUUUUUUUAAGAGACUGGGUUGCUUAAGUGUAGUUGAUAGAAACAUAUAUACUUUGAUUUUGCUUAAAUUAUAAUGGACUGAAUGACUUCUUCAUUGUGAACUUUGAGCUCCUGCACUGACAAGUUGGUGUUGAGUAUAUUCCUCUUCUGAAACGGCAAAAUAUUAGUGUUAAUGAAGACGUUCUUUUCUUCUGUUUCUGUUAUUUUGUCAGGCUUUACUCCUUACUUGUGAUAUCUUUUAUUGUGAUCUGUUCUGGUUUUAUUUGCAGCCUCAGAUCAGAGUCGUACAUACAAUAUUCUCACUAAUAAGGAAGGACACAACUAGUUGGAUUCACGUUUACUUUUUUCCAAGUCAUGAACUACUUUUUCAGAGUUAAGAUUUAUUCCAGAAAACCUCUUCUCAAACAAGCACUGACUGGUUAAUUAAUCUCCUCUGGAAAUUGAUCCUUAAAGAGUUAAAAGUCACACGCUUGAUUCAGCAGAAUCUCAGACGUCAGUUGUCAGAUCUGAGUCAGAUUACAGCUUCGGUUUUCAGAUGUCAGGUCUGUGUCCCACUCUGCUGUUUUUGUGUCACACUGAGUCUCCACAUCAUCACCCAUUAAGAAGCUGCCGCUGCAUUCCUCCAUACCUGCUGAUUAAAGCAAUCGUGCUUGUUGAUUGGCUGUCUCACCUCGCAGGCUGAAGCGUCUGCUGAGCCGGGCGUGUUGUUUCCCUGCAGAUCUGCAGCCGAGGUGGAGGAGGAGAUGGAGGAGGAAGAGGAGGAGGAGGAGGAGCGGCACAAGUUUCUCUUCUGGGAAGCUCUUGUCUGUUAAUUAGCGGUGAGCAGAUGGAAGAAAGUCCACAUCUCGCUGGGGAUCAAUUCUACCCGAGAAGCGGCAGCAGCAACCUCAGUUUAUUUAUUUCUUAGCUCAGCAGCGACGGGGCGAUGUCACCUCCCAAAUGUGCGCGAAGGAAGAGGAGGAGAACCCGGGAGAGUUUGGAAGAGAAGACUUAGACACACACAAGACGCGAGGAGCGCCUCGUUUUCAAGAGAUUUCCUCAGAGACCCUGAAAGGAGCGGCAUUCAGCUGGCGGUUGAGUGUUGAGUUUAGUUACUUAUCAUUACUUUGUUUACAGCCAUCUGUUUACACACACAUCCUCCUCAUCUUACCUCCUUGUGUCUCGCUUCGCUCUAUACGCUGCAAGCCGUAACCCGCCGGCCUCCUGCCAAAAACUGAAGCCUCGCCGACAGCUGCGGCGGCGGCUGCUGCUGCCGACUUAUUUUCCGGCAGCACAAAGUGAAAUUUGCUGCAAACAAAAAUAGUGACUUUGUGGAGGCUUUUGUGGAGGCAUCUGCAGAAUCACCAUUCCAUUCAGACAGUGUUUUCACUCCAUUUAGCGAUUCGCCCACGCAGUAACUGCAGAGGCGUUGAGAGCAGGAUGGAUAAUUCUGCUGGUUCAGGGGUUUGAUUUGAAGCGGGGACCCCCUCGAAGUUUUAAAAUCAAGCUUUUGUUCCCUGUGUGUUUAGUUGUGUGUGUGGUUUGAAUUUUGAAAAUCUUUCACAGUUGUGUCCUUUUGUUGUUCAGUUGUCAACAUCCAGAUAUUACAUAAUUAAACAUCUUCAUCCAUC